CCAUUGAUCAUUCCUCCAGGGCAGUGGUUCAAAAUAGGGGCUAUGCACCCCCGUGGGUGGCACAUUGGAAUUUGUGUGUGUUUGGUUACUACAGUAACUAGAGGUUUCUAUGGAAAUGCAGAGUUCUCUCCUCCCCACAACACUGGGGAGGAAGAGAUGGAGAAAUGGACACGUAUGUUAGAAUGGAAUGCAUGGAUAUUCCCACAAAGUGAAAAACGUCCUACCACACAUGCACGUAACAGUCAAUAACAGUUUCAAACUUAGGCCUUGUCCUGGUCCAAAGUUUGAAAAGGACUAUCAUGAAUGAAUGAAUGGAAGGAAAGGAAGAAGAGAGAGAGAAAAAAGGAAAGGGAAACGCUGGAGUAGAAAUUACUUUUGGAUGGCACAGACAUAACAUGGAUAAAAAUACUCCAUACAUUCUGUGGAAUUUUCCAAGGAAAACCCAUGUGUAAUGGUGUAUAAGUUUACUGACUGCUGAUUAAUAAUUAUUAAUUAAGGACAUAAAGACAAGCAAACUUACACUGAAUUAAGAGCAUAUGCCAAGAAAUGUAAAUGAAAUGAAUUCGCUGCCUCCAUUCAAACAGCUGAGACAAAGCUUCAUAAAAAAUAAGUGAGAAAUGACAAAGGAAGAAAUGAAAUCAUGAACAACUCAAAUCAACAAAACUAAAAAACAAAAAGAACUGAUAACUUUAAAUAAAAGCACCUGGGCUGGUAUGUAUGUGCUUCAUGUGUGUGACUACAUGUAUUUAUGUUGAUUGCUGAUGAAUAAAUAUUUAAUAUUUAAAACCUAAAGAACUGAAAAAGAGUUAUAGACAGAUAAGAGCUCAUGGA